rnacentral:rRNA from 1 species
GACGAACGCUGGCGGCGUGCUUAACACAUGCAAGUCGAACGGAAAGGCCCUGCUUUUGUGGGGUGCUCGAGUGGCGAACGGGCGAGUAACACGUGAGUGACCUGCCCUGGACUUUGGGAUAACUUCAGGAAACUGGGGCUAAUACCGGAUAGGAGCUCCUGCUGCAUGGUGUGGUGUGGAGAGUUUCGGCGGUGGGGGAUGGACUCGCGGCUUAUCAGCUUGUUGGUGGGGUAGUGGCUUACCAAGGCUUUGACGGGUAGCCGGCCUGAGAGGGUGACCGGCCACAUUGGGACUGAGAUACGGCCCAGACUCCUACGGGAGGCAGCAGUGGGGAAUAUUGCACAAUGGGCGGAAGCCUGAUGCAGCAACGCCGCGUGCGGGAUGACGGCCUUCGGGUUGUAAACCGCUUUCGCCUGUGACGAAGCGUGAGUGACGGUAAUGGGUAAAGAAGCACCGGCUAACUACGUG